GUUCACGUAGGGGAAGGAGUCCCCCGUUUCCCGCCGAGAGGCUGAUGACUCCUGCUGCGUG
rnacentral:ncRNA from 2 species